UACGGGGGGAGCAAGCGUUGUUCGGAUUUACUGGGCGUACAGGGCGCGUAGGCGGCCAGCACAAGUCAGUUGUGAAAUCUCCGAGCUUAACUCGGAAAGGUCAACUGAUACUGUGCGGCUAGAGUGCGGAAGGGGCAACUGGAAUUCUUGGUGUAGCGGUGAAAUGCGUAGAUAUCAGGAGGAAUACCGAUGGCGAAGGCAGGUCUCUGGGCUGACACUGACGCUCAUGCACGAAAGCGUGGGGAGCAAACAGG
rnacentral:rRNA from 1 species